rnacentral:tRNA from 1 species
UCCUCGGUAGUAUAGUGGUGAGUAUCCCCCCCCCUGUCACGCAGGAGAGCGGGGUUCAAUUCCCCGCCGGGGAG